ACAUCUUUAUUAUACAAGUAUAUUUGACUUCCAAUCAAAAGGCCCAAUUUAUGGAAGAUGUA
rnacentral:tRNA from 1 species